rnacentral:rRNA from 1 species
UACAGAGGGUGCGAGCGUUAAUCGGAAUUACUGGGCGUAAAGCGCGCGUAGGCGGCUUUGCAAGUCGGGUGUGAAAUCCCCAGGCUUAACCUGGGAACUGCAUUCGAGACUGCAUUGCUAGAGUAUGGGAGGGGAAGUGGAAUUUCCGGUGUAGCGGUGAAAUGCGUAGAUAUCGGAAGGAACAUCAGUGGCGAAAGCGACUUCCUGGACCAAUACUGACGCUCAUGUGCGAAAGCGUGGGGAGCAAACAGG